CCAGUACAGUCGCUCAUUAUGGUAAUCCACCGCCAAGCCUGUGGGAGCACACCAUGAGGAGAGCAAAAUGGUGCUGUCUGUAAAGGAAGGAUUUCCCUCCCUCUCCCAGAAAGUUAAUUUAAUGUCAUUUCAAAGACACAAUUUAAAGACCGUGUAUUGAUCAAACUGACUCGAGGAGGCCUUCUUGGCCAGGGAUUCAAAACUAUUGUCCUCUAAGGAUGAUGAUGAACCUACAUGAAAAUAAACUAGAAGAAUCAACUCUUCGUCAGAGCCACUGAUCUCUUCUGGGGCAACUAGGAAAAAAACCUUGAUUUUGGAAUCAUGAAAAUCUUCAACUGUGCAGUUAAGGAAGCUGAUGAAAGGGCAGAAGAGAGUUCUUGAAUGCCAAGUAGGGGCUACACAGAAGCCAUAUUGCAGAUAUCAGACAAUUUUCAUGAUUGUUGACAUUUUGUAAUUAUUU